rnacentral:rRNA from 1 species
AACGAACGCUGGCGGCAGGCUUAACACAUGCAAGUCGAACGCCCCGCAAGGGGAGUGGCAGACGGGUGAGUAACGCGUGGGAAUCUACCCAUCCCUACGGAACAACUCCGGGAAACUGGAGCUAAUACCGUAUACGCCCUACGGGGGAAAGAUUUAUCGGGGAUGGAUGAGCCCGCGUUGGAUUAGCUAGUUGGUGGGGUAAGGCCUACCAAGGCGACGAUCCAUAGCUGGUCUGAGAGGAUGAUCAGCCACAUUGGGACUGAGACACGGCCCAAACUCCUACGGGAGGCAGCAGUGGGGAAUAUUGGACAAUGGGCGCAAGCUUGAUCCAGCCAUGCCGCGUGAGUGAUGAAGGCCUUAGGGUUGUAAAGCUCUUUCACCGAUGAAGAUAAUGACGGUAGUCGGAGAAGAAGCCCCGGCUAACUUCGUGCCAGCCGCCGCAGUAAUAC